UGCAGUCGAACGAUGAACCUCACUUGUGGGGGGAUUAGUGGCGAACGGGUGAGUAACACGUGAGUAACCUGCCCUUGACUCUGGGAUAAGCCUGGGAAACCGGGUCUAAUACUGGAUACGACCUUCUGGCGCAUGCCAUGUUGGUGGAAAGCUUUUGUGGUUUUGGAUGGACUCGCGGCCUAUCAGCUUGUUGGUGGGGUAAUGGCCUACCAAGGCGACGACGGGUAGCCGGCCUGAGAGGGUGACCGGCCACACUGGGACUGAGACACGGCCCAGACUCCUACGGGAGGCAGCAGUGGGGAAUAUUGCACAAUGGGCGCAAGCCUGAUGCAGCGACGCCGCGUGAGGGAUGAAGGCCUUCGGGUUGUAAACCUCUUUCAGUAGGGAAGAAGCCGGCCUUUGGGUUGGUGACGGUACCUGCAGAAGAAGCGCCGGCUAACUACGUGCCAGCAGCCGCGGUAAUACGUAGGGCGCAAGCGUUAUCCGGAAUUAUUGGGCGUAAAGAGCUCGUAGGCGGUUUGUCGCGUCUGCCGUGAAAGUCCGGGGCUUAACCCCGGAUCUGCGGUGGGUACGGGCAGACUAGAGUGCAGUAGGGGAGACUGGAAUUCCUGGUGUAGCGGUGAAAUGCGCAGAUAUCAGGAGGAACACCGAUGGCGAAGGCAGGUCUCUGGGCUGUAACUGACGCUGAGGAGCGAAAGCAUGGGGAGCGAACAGGAUUAGAUACCCUGGUAGUCCAUGCCGUAAACGUUGGGCACUAGGUGUGGGGGACAUUCCACGUUUUCCGCGCCGUAGCUAACGCAUUAAGUG
rnacentral:rRNA from 1 species